rnacentral:rRNA from 1 species
AGUGAACGCUGGCGGUAGGCCUAACACAUGCAAGUCGAACGGCAGCACAGUAAGAGCUUGCUCUUACGGGUGGCGAGUGGCGGACGGGUGAGGAAUACAUCGGAAUCUACUUUUUCGUGGGGGAGAACGUAGGGAAACUUACGCUAUUACCGCAUACGACCUACGGGUGAAAGCAGGGGAUCUUCGGACCUUGCGCGAUUGAAUGAGCCGAUGUCGGAUUAGCUAGUUGGCGGGGUAAAGGCCCACCAAGGCGACGAUCCGUAGCUGGUCUGAGAGGAUGAUCAGCCACACUGGAACUGAGACACGGUCCAGACUCCUACGGGAGGCAGCAGUGGGGAAUAUUGGACAAAGGGCGCAAGCCUGAUCCAGCCAUACCGCGUGGGUGAAGAAGGCCUUCGGGUUGUAAAGCCCUUUUGUUGGGAAAGAAAAGCAGCAGGUUAAUACCCCGCUGUUCUGACGGUACCCAAAGAAUAAGCACCGGCUAACUUCGUG